AAAAAAAAAAAAAAACCCAACAAACACACACCACCACCACCACCAAAAUGCACAAAAUAUGGCAUUAAUGCUUAGCAAGAAUAGAAAGAUGGAUGUAGUUCAGCAUGGUAAGCUCUAGAGAUAAAAAACCUGCCCUUUGAAAUGCUUCACACAUGCACACAUAAACUUAAAGCUGAUAUUCUUGAGCAUUAUCCCAAUGCAUGCUGAAAGCAAUAUUUUAAAUUUGGAACAGU
rnacentral:misc_RNA from 1 species